UACGUAGGGGCCGAGCGUUUGUCCGGAGUUAUUGGGCGUAAAGCGCGCGCAGGCGGCUUCGCGCGCCCCGACGUGAAAGCCCCCGGCUUAACCGGGGAGAGUCGUUGGGGACGGCGGAGCUUGAGGGCGGGAGAGGUCGGUGGAAUUCCCGGUGUAGUGGUGAAAUGCGUAGAGAUCGGGAGGAACACCUGUGGCGAAGGCGGCCGACUGGGCCGACCCUGACGCUGAGG
rnacentral:rRNA from 1 species